rnacentral:hammerhead_ribozyme from 1 species
AGCCGAAACGCCCUAGAUAGGGCGUCGCGGAGAGAUGGCCUACUCCGCCCGAAGAUGGCAGGCCAAG